UCACCUCGAUGUGGUUGGUGGCAGCU
rnacentral:piRNA from 1 species